UUCGUUUGUUCAAACGGUGAGAUUCAUUUUGGCUACAAACAGCAAAAAAGACAUGAUGAUUUUAGUGCAGGAAAAAGAAAAUGUUGCAUUUUUUUGUUGAGUUGUCUGAUAGACACAACUCCAAACUUACUUGGAGAAGGAUACACACACUCCAGGUCUUCCUCAGGUUUUCCUGUCCAAGUACUAAUCAGGACCGACCCUGGUUAGGUUCUGAGAUUGGUUUGUACAGAAAGCCAUGGAAGUGGUCGGACGGCAGCGGCAGCACGUUCAGAAACUGGCAGGUCGACCAGCCGGACAACAACGCCAACAGCAGUGAGAGCUGUGUCAAGAUGUACAACGCAACAUGGGACGACUAAAAUUGUGACACCAAACUCACGUUUCUGUGUCAAAGUAACUCUCAGAAUACACAGAUUCUCCUCAUGAAGUUAUUUUUCUACAAUAUGUACUAAAAAAAAGUUUUCACACCUUGCUGACUCAUUUUCUUUCUGUCUGCUGCAAUUUUGAAUAGAUCCAGUUGAAGAGCCAACGCACACCUCCAAAAUCCAAGACAAAUGCCGACCUGACAGAUCCAAAUGUUGCAAAUGAAGUUAUGCAAAAGCUGCAGGCACAUCUGUACUUGCAUUUUAAACAUACCAAGAUCUCCCUGAAGUCUGUGAGAAAACAUCCUUAACCACAAAAGCUAAGUGAAGAUUCUCUCAAAUAUUACAGAGAUAUGUCAUCUGUCAGAAGAAGAAAAAAAAAAAAAUUUUUUUUUGAGCACCAGUAGAUGUAUCAUUCGUGUUUCUCCAACAGGCCCGUCUGGAGACGGAACCCCGUAAAAACAGCACAGUUGGUCAUUGAUAACGGCAGAUUGUCAAACUUUUCCUGCUGUUUGUCUUUUCUUGUUUUUGCUUCUGUUGUGAGCCUGAAUGUCUUAAAAACUCUUUAAUGUCAGUCUCACUUACUGCAAUUAAUAAUCAAUCAGUAAAUAAAGUGUGUGACCAAGUAUCGACAUAUUUAGUGGAUUUAUAAAAUACUAUUUGUGUUUUGUUGAAAUGUUAACAUUAACCAUUUGGUGGUGUUUUAAAGUGAAAUUUUGUUUGCAGUUGAAAGAUGUAAUCAAUAAAUGUAUAAUUUUUUUUCUUUCA